CAGCUCAAAUUUGAAAUCUGGCUCUCGGGCCCGAGUUGUAAUUUGUAGAGGAUACUUUUGAUGCGGUGCCUUCCGAGUUCCCUGGAACGGGACGCCAUAGAGGGUGAGAGCCCCGUCUGGUUGGAUGCCAAAUCUCUGUAAAGUUCCUUCAACGAGUCGAGUAGUUUGGGAAUGCUGCUCUAAAUGGGAGGUAUAUGUCUUCUAAAGCUAAAUACCGGCCAGAGACCGAUAGCGCACAAGUAGAGUGAUCGAAAGAUGAAAAGCACUUUGAAAAGAGAGUUAAAAAGUACGUGAAAUUGUUGAAAGGGAAGCGUUUAUGACCAGACUUGGGCUUGGUUAAUCAUCUGGGGUUCUCCCCAGUGCACUUUUCCAGUCCAGGCCAGCAUCAGUUUUCCCCGGGGGAUAAAGGCGGCGGGAAUGUGGCUCUCUUCGGGGAGUGUUAUAGCCCACCGUGUAAUACCCUGGGGGGGACUGAGGUUCGCGCAUCUGCAAGGAUGCUGGCGUAAUGGUCAUCAACGACCCGUCUUGAAACACGGACCAAGGAGUCGUCUUCGUAUGCGAGUGUUUGGGUGGAA
rnacentral:rRNA from 1 species